rnacentral:rRNA from 1 species
GACGAACGCUGGCGGCGUGCCUAAUACAUGCAAGUAGAACGCUGAAGGAGGAGCUUGCUUCUCUGGAUGAGUUGCGAACGGGUGAGUAACGCGUAGGUAACCUGCCUGGUAGCGGGGGAUAACUAUUGGAAACGAUAGCUAAUACCGCAUAAGAGUAGAUGUUGCAUGACAUUUGCUUAAAAGGUGCAAUUGCAUCACUACCAGAUGGACCUGCGUUGUAUUAGCUAGUUGGUGGGGUAACGGCUUACCAAGGCGACGAUACAUAGCCGACCUGAGAGGGUGAUCGGCCACACUGGGACUGAGACACGGCCCAGACUCCUACGGGAGGCAGCAGUAGGGAAUCUUCGGCAAUGGACGGAAGUCUGACCGAGCAACGCCGCGUGAGUGAAGAAGGUUUUCGGAUCGGAAAGCUCUGUUGUAAGAGAAGAACGAGUGUGAGAGUGGAAAGUUCACACUGUGACGGUAUCUGACCAGAAAGGGACGGCUAACUACGUG